GGGGGAUAGAACGGAGGAGGGUGAAGGGGGAGGGGAGGUGGUAGAAGGAGGUGACAGGAAGGUGCGGCAGAACGCGAUCGGUAAUGUGAUCUCGAGGAAAAGGGUGUAGAAGAAAGGACUGGUAUCUAUCUAUUCCUCUUGUCAGACGUUGCAUCGGUUAGCAGCAAACGAAACGUACGUUGCAUACAUGCAUGCAUACAUACAUAGAGAUACGUACAUAAGUAUAUAUAUAUAUAUAUAUAUAUAUACGUUGAUACGUAAUACGUCGCGUACGAGUUCUCGCAUAUUAGUCAGAAGAGCCGCAAGAACGUGUCAGUCGACUCAUGAGUAUUUACAUCUACGUUCUCUUUUCGUAAUGGGUCCAUGUAGUCCACUGAAAUAGGCCCAGACACCCUAAAUUGGGAAUAGGGAGGGGGAAAUUGAUCUAAGGAUAAAAAGCUAAUAAAACUGACAAAGAUUAUUCCUGGCAUAAGAAAA
rnacentral:lncRNA from 1 species